AGAGUUUGAUCAUGGCUCAGAGCGAACGCUGGCGGCAGGCCUAACACAUGCAAGUCGAGCGCCCGUAGCAAUACGGGAGCGGCAGACGGGAGAGUAACACGUGGGAACGUACCCUUCAGUUCGGAACAACCCAGGGAAACUUGGGCUAAUACCGAAUACGUCCGUAAGGAGAAAGAUUUAUCGCUGAAGGAUCGGCCCGCGUCUGAUUAGCUAGUUGGUAGGGUAAAGGCCUACCAAGGCUACGAUCCAUAGCUGGUCUGAGAGGAUGAUCAGCCACACUGGGACUGAGACACGGCCCAGACUCCUACGGGAGGCAGCAGUAGGGAAUCUUGCGCAAUGGGCGAAAGCCUGACGCAGCCAUGCCGCGUGUAUGAUGAAGGUCUUAGGAUUGUAAAAUACUUUCACCGGGGAAGAUAAUGACGGUACCCGGAGAAGAAGCCCCGGCUAACCUCGUGCCAGCCGCCGCGGUAAUACA
rnacentral:rRNA from 1 species